UAUUGCACAAUGGGGGAAACCCUGAUGCAGCAACGCCGCGUGAGUGAUGAAGUCUUUCGAGUCGUAAAGCUCUGUCCUAAGGGAAGAUAAUGACGGUACCUUAGGAGGAAGCCCCGGCUAACUACGUGCCAGCAGCCGCGGUAAUACGUAGGGGGCAAGCGUUAUCCGGAAUCAUUGGGCGUAAAGGGUGCGUAGGCGGCCCUAUAGGUCAGAGGUCAAAGGCUACGGCUCAACCGUAGUAAGCCUUUGAAACUGUAGGGCUUGAGUGCAGGAGAGGAGAGUGGAAUUCCUAGUGUAGCGGUGAAAUGCGUAGAUAUUAGGAGGAACACCAGUGGCGAAGGCGACUCUCUGGACUGCAACUGACGCUGAGGCACGAAAGCGUGGGGAGCAAACAGG
rnacentral:rRNA from 1 species